rnacentral:rRNA from 2 species
UACGUAGGGGGCAAGCGUUGUCCGGAUUUAUUGGGCGUAAAGAGCGUGUAGGCGGCUAGGUAGGUCCGUUGUGAAAACUCGAGGCUCAACCUCGAGCUGUCGAUGGAAACCAUCUAGCUAGAGUCCGGAAGAGGAGAGUGGAAUUCCUGGUGUAGCGGUGAAAUGCGCAGAUAUCAGGAAGAACACCCGUGGCGAAGGCGGCUCUCUGGUACGUGACUGACGCUGAGACGCGAAAGCGUGGGGAGCGAACAGG